CUUGGUUAUGGAUACAUCUAUCCGUAGAUAGACUUGUUAAUGUGAAUCUCUGGUCCAAAGGAGUGGGGAGACUUAACCCAAGACUCUCAUUAUUAUUAGAGGGAUGGUGGGGUAAGUGUGAUCUUCAGUAUCUGUGUCUAGCAGUCAAAAGCCAAAUUACCUGAUUUUUUAAUUGCCAGAAGAUCUCAGGUCAUAUAAAGAAAAAUAAUUGGAAUUCUACCCUCAAUGAUGAUCUUUCUGCUCUUAAAUUCCUCUAUUAGACCCAAGGAAAUGUUUAGGCAGCCAUCGACCAUUUUACAGGUUUUAACAUCCCUUGGUACUUGGCCAGUUCUCUGCCCCAGUGACUGUUCAGUAGAUGCUGUUGCUUGCUGGUCUAAGUCUCUCUCUCUUUUAGGCCUCAGUCCCCUGGAGGGUCCCCUCUGGCAAUGUCUGUUGACCAAUCUGUUCAACUGUUCUUUAACCACACGUUGACAGCUCAACAGUCUUCUGAACCAAUAGCAAAUGUACCUAGAACCUUAGCCAUCCUUUGCUUCGCUCACUUUUAAGGCUCUACUGUUUCUACCUCAUUGCCUUCACUCAAGUUAUUCUUCUCAACAGGAAUGCCAUUCUUCCUUCUGCCCACUGAUCCAAAUCUGUGAGGUUCAACUCACAUCCCAUAGCUUGCCUGAAGUCCCGUCUGACUCCAACCCUCAGUGAAUUCCUGCUACAAAGAACUGUAUCUCUUAAAGCUGAACUUGCAAUAUAAUAAGCCUUGAACUCUUCCUGAUCUUGAGAUUGCCAAAUCCAGCCUCCUAGUGGACAUCUCCGCUUAACUGCCAGUGGCCACUCCAGUUUCAGCAUGUCCCAAACUGAACACAUCAUCUCCCCGUCAUUCUCUCAGACCUGUUUCUCCCCGUCUACUUCCCAUCUGUCUACUAGUCGUCCAAGCCAAAAUCAAAGCAACGUCCUGACUCUUCUUUUUAUCUACUUUCAGAUCUAUCAUUUAACAAGUCCCACUAAGUUUAGUUUUGAAAUACUUUUUGAGUCAGUGUGCUCCUCUUUUUUUCUCUAAAACUAUUGCCCUGGCUCUGAGACAGAGACCAAUCUCUAUCUCUAGUGUCUUAUCCCUUACACCAUAAGCUUAAUCUAUUUGCAGUGUAAAUCUGACCCAGCUGUGACUCUUUUCAAAAUUCUUCAAGUCCUGAUUAAUUACAGGAUAAAGUCCUAAUUGGGUUCACUUGAGUCCAAGACCAUCCGCGAUCUGGCCCCUGCCUUCCUCUUCAAUCACAUUGUAUUAAAGACUCUAGGAGCUGUUAGGACCUCAAGGACAGAGACAGUGGGGAGCUCUUGACUUCUCCAGUGGUAGCAAUGUAAUUAGCAAAUGAGACACAACGAUUCAGCAUGUAUCUGCUCGAACAGAGUUGUACGUAGAACAGCCCUCAGGCCUUCCACCCUGGAAUGACAGCUGUGCGAGGCAACUGCAGUUUCCUGUUGCAAUGGAGUCUCCGUGUUGCUGUGCUGAAGGUGGAGAAAUCUUUGGGUGGUGCCACGUUCCCUGUGGAUGCUCCAACAACACGUGCUGGCUGACCGACUGAUUGACUAACUUCGUUAAUACUCUCAUUGAUUCAUGUAUAGAUGCAAGUAUAGUUAUACAAUAAGAGAGUGAGUAAACUAUAUACAAGGUGAGACAUGUAAAGAUGUGAGUUCUGAUGAAUAGAAAUGAAAUAUUUUUAUCAAGUACGAAAUAAGGAAUUUCUCUGAACCUAUUAUUCAUGCUAUUGUACAACUCCAUGGUCACUUUUGCCUGCUUGUGUAUAAUUCCACACACAUUCUAGACUCUUUGAAACACAUUUUCUUUAUUAGGAGUAAAGGCCUUUUUUCUUUAAUCUAUACUAUCUACCAGAAACCACUCUUAGUUUAAGAAAAAAAGAAUUUAUCUUGAAAAAUCAGGGUUUGUUAGGGGUAAUUCUAAAUUAUAUUUAGAUUUCCAAGUUUUCUUUCUUUUUUUUUAAUGGUUGAGUUUUGGGUGUAUUAAUUUCCCUUUUACACAGAUAGUCUCUUUCUCUCACACUCUCUGGGGAGCUAUUUUUCUUCUAUUUUAUUUUGACUUGUCCUCAUUAGGUAGGUGGAAUUAAAGAAUUCUAUUUAUAAUUUCAGUCUGUGGAUGUUAAGAAAUGUAGCACACUCAUGGGUGGUGGUUAGUCUAUGUGAUUUUGGC
rnacentral:lncRNA from 1 species